rnacentral:lncRNA from 1 species
GCCAUAAAACCUUCGUAGAACAUAUAUCAUAUAGUAUUCUUAGUAGUGGAAUCACCCGAGGGCACUACAUCUCUCGACCGAAGCCAUAUAUAAGUAUCUUCCGCUCGUAGGCACUACAUCUCCCAACCGAAGCCAAAAAUAAGUAUCUUCCACCUGUAGGCACUACAUCCCCUGGCCAAAGCCAUAUAUAAGUAUCAUUCACCCGUAGGCACAUAAUAUCUCAGUAACGUAAAUUCGAUAAAGCAUGAUAAUUCAUAAAGCAUAAAUGUCACAGCCAGUCCCGAGAUUUUA